rnacentral:rRNA from 1 species
AACAAACGCUGGCGGCGUGCCUAAUACAUGCAAGUCGAACGGGGAAAGCUUUCGGGUGAGUACUAGUGGCGCACGGGUGAGGAACGCGUGGAUAAUCUGCCUUAGAGUGGGGGAUAACUAGUCGAAAGAUUAGCUAAUACCGCAUAAGACCACGAGAGCUGCGGCUUUUGAGGUCAAAGGUUUUUCGCUCUAAGAUGAGUCCGCGUAAGAUUAGCUAGUUGGUGAGGUAACGGCUCACCAAGGCGACGAUCUUUAACUGGUCUGAGAGGAUGAUCAGUCACACUGGAACUGAGACACGGUCCAGGCUCCUACGGGAGGCAGCAGUAGGGAAUAUUGCACAAUGGAGGAAACUCUGAUGCAGCGACGCCGCGUGAGUGAUGAAGGCCUUCGGGUCGUAAAGCUCUGUCGCAGGGGAAUAACACAAUGAAGGUACCCUGUAAGAAAGGAUCGGCUAACUUCGUG